rnacentral:rRNA from 1 species
AUUGAACGCUGGCGGCAGGCUUAACACAUGCAAGUCGAGCGGGGUGAUGGUGCUUGCACUAUCACUUAGCGGCGGACGGGUGAGUAAUGCUUAGGAAUCUGCCUAUUGGUGGGGGACAACAUCUCGAAAGGGAUGCUAAUACCGCAUACGUCCUACGGGAGAAAGCAGGGGAUCACUUAUGACCUUGCGCUAAUAGAUGAGCAUAAGUCGGAUUAGCUAGUUGGUGGGGUAAAGGCCUACCAAGGCGAGGAUCUGUAGCGGGUCUGAGAGGAUGAUCCGACACACUGGGACUGAGACACGGCCCAGAAUCCUACGGGAGGCAGCAGUGGGGAAUAUUGGACAAUGGGGGGAACCCUGAUCCAGCCAUGCCGCGUGUGUGAAGAAGGCCUUAUGGUUGUAAAGCACUUUAAGCGAGGAGGAGGCUCUUUUGGUUAAUACCCAAGAUGAGUGGACGUUACUCGCAGAAUAAGCACCGGCUAACUCUGUGCCAGCCGCCGCCGUAA